rnacentral:rRNA from 1 species
UAAAGAGCUUGUACGUGGCUUGUCGCGUCUGCCGUGAAAACCCGAGGCUCAACCUCGGGCGUGCGGUGGGUACGGGCAGGCUAGAGUGUGGUAGGGGAGACUGGAACUCCUGGUGUAGCGGUGAAAUGCGCAGAUAUCAGGAAGAACACCGAUGGCGAACGCAGGUCUCUGGGCCAUUACUGACACUGAGAAGCGAAAGCAUGGGUAGCGAACAGGAUUAGAUACCCUGGUAGUCCAUGCCGUAAACGUUGGGCACUAGGUGUGGGGGACAUUCCACGUUUUCCGCGCCGUAGCUAACGCAUUAAGUGCCCCGCCUGGGGAGUACGGCCGCAAGGCUAAAACUCAAAGGAAUUGACGGGGGCCCGCACAAGCGGCGGAGCAUGCUGAUUAAUUCGAUGCAACGCGAAGAACCUUACCAAGGCUUGACAUGCACUGGACGGCUGCAGAGAUGUGGCUUUCUUUGGACUGGUGCACAGGUGGUGCAUGGUUGUCGUCAGCUCGUGUCGUGAGAUGUUGGGUUAAGUCCCGCAACGAGCGCAACCCUCGUUCUAUGUUGCCAGCACGUGAUGGUGGGGACUCAUAGGAGACUGCCGGGGUCAACUCGGAGGAAGGUGGGGACGACGUCAAAUCAUCAUGCCCCUUAUGUCUUGGGCUUCAAGCAUGCUACAAUGGUCGGUACAAUGGGUUGCGAAACUGUGAGGUGGAGCGAAUCCCAAAAAGCCGGCCUCAGUUCGGAUUGGGGUCUGCAACUCGACCCCAUGAAGUCGGAGUCGCUAGU